ACUAAACAAGUUUAAAUUCCCACCAGAAGUGCAUAAACAUCCCCUUUUCUCCACAACCUUGCCAGCUUCUGUUAGUUUUUGACCUUUUAAUAAUAGUCAUUCUGACUGGUGUGAGAUGGUGUCUCACUGUGGUUUUGAUUUGCAUUUCUCUAAUGAUUAGUGAGUUUGAGCAUUUUUUUCAUAGCCUUGUUGGCCACAUGUUAUGUCUUCUUUUGAAAAGUAUCUGUUCAUGUCCUUUGCCCACUUUUGAUGGGGUUGUUUGUUUUUUUUUCUUGUAAAUUUAAGUUCCUUGCAGAUGCUGGAUAUUAGACGUUUGUCAGAUGGCUAGGUUGCAAAUAUUUUCUCCCUUUCUGUGAGCUGUUCACUCUGUUGAUAGUUUCUUUUGCCGUAAAGAAGCUCUUUAGUUUAAUUAGGUCCCAUUUGCCAAUUUUUGUUUUUCUUGCAAUUACUUUUGGCAUCUUUGUCAUGAAGAUCAUUUCCAGGUCCUAUGUCCGCAAUGGUAUUUCCUAGGUUAUCGUCCAAGGUUUUAAUAUGUUUUCAUUUUAGAUUUAAGUUUUUAAUCCUGCCUUUGCCUCCCAAAGUGCUGGGAUUACAAGCGUGAGCUACCACACCCAGCGAGGAAGCCAAGUUUAACGUGUGUGCUCCACUCCUCCAACCUGGCCAAAGGGCAGUCAUCAUCACUGGCCACUGCUGACCACAGCCUUUAGAAACUCCCCUUGAACGUGCUGGGCUGACCUUCCUCUGAUCACAGGCAAGGUUGUAGAUGAGCAUGAGAGUGUGGAGCAGAGUUGGCGAGUGCAAGUCGAGCCCAUCAACCUGGACAGCUGUCUCCGUGCUUUCACCAGUGAGGAAGAGCUAGGGGAAGAUGAGAUAUACUACUGUUCCAAGUGUAAGACCCACUGCUUUAGCAACAAAGAAGCUGGAUCUCUGGAGGCUUCCACCCUUCCUGAUUAUUCACCUUAAGCGAUUUCAAUUUGUAAAUGAUCAGUGGAUAAAAUCACAGAAAAUUGUCAAAUUUCCUCGGGAAAGUUUUGAUCCGAGUGCUUUUUUGGUACCACGAGACCCGGCUCUCUGCCAGCAUCAACCACUCACACCCCAGGGGGAUGAGCUCUCCAAGCCCAGGAUUCUGGCAA
rnacentral:lncRNA from 10 species